rnacentral:rRNA from 1 species
GACGAACGCUGGCGGCGUGCUUAACACAUGCAAGUCGAACGAAGAGCGAUGGAAGCUUGCUUCUAUCAAUCUUAGUGGCGAACGGGUGAGUAACGCGUAAUCAACCUGCCCUUCAGAGGGGGACAACAGUUGGAAACGACUGCUAAUACCGCAUACGAUCUAACCUCGGCAUCGAGGAUAGAUGAAAGGUGGCCUCUACAUGUAAGCUAUCACUGGAGGAGGGGAUUGCGUCUGAUUAGCUAGUUGGAGGGGUAACGGCCCACCAAGGCGAUGAUCAGUAGCCGGUCUGAGAGGAUGAACGGCCACAUUGGGACUGAGACACGGCCCAGACUCCUACGGGAGGCAGCAGUGGGGAAUCUUCCGCAAUGGACGAAAGUCUGACGGAGCAACGCCGCGUGAGUGAUGACGGCCUUCGGGUUGUAAAGCUCUGUUAAUCGGGACGAAAGGCCUUCUUGCGAAUAGUUAGAAGGAUUGACGGUACCGGAAUAGAAAGCCACGGCUAACUACGUG